rnacentral:rRNA from 1 species
UACGUAGGUGGCGAGCGUUGUCCGGAAUUACUGGGCGUAAAGAGCUCGUAGGCGGUUUGUCACGUCGUCUGUGAAAUCCUCCAGCUUAACUGGGGGCGUGCAGGCGAUACGGGCAGACUUGAGUACUACAGGGGAGACUGGAAUUCCUGGUGUAGCGGUGAAAUGCGCAGAUAUCAGGAGGAACACCGGUGGCGAAGGCGGGUCUCUGGGUAGUAACUGACGCUGAGGAGCGAAAGCAUGGGUAGCGAACAGGAUUAGAUACCCU